rnacentral:tRNA from 1 species
AGUGAAGUGGCAGAAAUAGUGCUUCAGAUUUAAGCUCUGACCAAGGAUACACCUCCCUUUACUA